UACGAACUGUGCGAACGUUAUUCGGAAUCACUGGGCUUAAAGGGUGCGUAGGCGGUUACCUAAGUCAGGUGUGAAAUCUCUCGGCUCAACCGGGAAACUGCGCUUGAUACUGGGUGGCUAGAGUGAGGUAGGGGUGUGUGGAACUUCCGGUGGAGCGGUGAAAUGUGUAGAUAUCGGAAGGAACGCCAGCAGCGAAAGCGGCACACUGGGCCUUUUCUGACGCUGAGGCACGAAAGCUAGGGGAGCGAACGGG
rnacentral:rRNA from 1 species